UCGGGUUGACGGGUUUUUUUCUUCUUUUCUCCCCUUUUACACCUUGACACACCUGUGGGGACUUUCACUAUAUUUCGCCUGUAACUAAGGUUGUUUUUGUUUGGAGUGUGUUUUUAUUGUUCUACUCCGAGUGUUAAGUGGAUGCACGAAAACUGUUCACUCGUGGUUACGAGAUGUCCUAUGGUGCUUCAACAGACUGUGAUUGACAGCUACAUGGUCACCAAGCAGAUUCUCACUGAGCCGAGAAGAAGAGGAUCUCUGGACAAAAAGACAAACACUUGCAAGAGUCAUUGGGUCAAGACAGCUCACAUGGACCUCCAACACCUCACAGCUGGUCAAAAAAGCCCAACAAAGACUGUUUUUCCUCAGGAAGCUGAAGCUGCCCACCUCCCACAGAAAGUAAUUGCCAAUUUCUAAAGGAGCAUGAUAGAUAGCAUCCUCACUAACUGUGCCACCGUGUGGUAUUCCAGCUGCACAGCUUCUGAACGUAAAUGACUGCACCAUGUGAUGAAGGUGGCUUAGCCCAUUAUUGGGAUGGAGCCCCCGACAAUGGACAUAAUCUACGAUGGACAACUGAAGAAGAAGGCCAGCAGUAUUUUCAGGGACCAUCCCCCCCGACACUACUUGUUUGAACCACUGCCAUUGGAUAGAUGGUUCAGAACAUUAAGACUAAGAGCACAACAGACUGAGGAACAGUUUUUAUUCACCCUGCAAAGCAUGACUACUAGUUUCGUGUAAAUUCAUAGUUGUGUAAGCAGGUGCCUUACAGCUCACUCAGAGACCAGAUAUUAGAACUAGUAUAUAUUAACAUUUGGAUUUGGAAUCACGAUAGUCCCUCUCUGCAUUACAAUGAAACAAAUACCUUGACUCUUCAUCAGCAAUGUUUUUUUCCAGUCAGAUUAAUUCUUGAGAGUCUUAUUACAGUCCAGCUGGAGGAGAGGAGAAAUCUUCACAAAUGAGAUUUGAUUGUCCUCCACCUAAGCAGCAUCAUGGGAUUAGAAGAAAUGAAACGUGUUUAAAAGGUAUGCCUGUUUGUCUAAUGUCUGAAUUUAUUCAGUCAGGGUUUGUUAUUUCAACCUGUAACGUGUCGCAGAAACUGAGAGUAUUCCAUUUAGGCAACUAUGCUUUCUUUCAUCAUUACCCUUCCAUUUUUCAGCCCUACAGUCUACCAUCAUUCAGAUCUUUCAACCUGUGGACAGCA